GAUGAAGAACGUAGCGAAAUGCGAUAAGUAAUGUGAAUUGCAGAAUUCAGUGAAUCAUCGAGUCUUUGAACGCACAUUGCGCCCCCUGGUAUUCCGGGGGGCAUGCCUGUCCGAGCGUCAUUGCUGCCCUCAAGCACGGCUUGUGUGUUGGGCCCCCGUCCCCGGUUCUCCCCGGGGACGGGCCCGAAAGGCAGCGGCGGCACCGCGUCCGAUCCUCGAGCGUAUGGGGCUUUGUCACCCGCUCUGUAGGCCCGGCCGGCGCCAGCCGACACCCCAACUUUAUUUUCUAAGGUUGACCUCGGAUCGGGUAGGGAUACCCGCUGAACUUAAGCAUAUCAAUAAGCGGAGGA
rnacentral:misc_RNA from 1 species